UCUUGGACCUUCUUCAUUGCUAUGGACCUGCGUGGUGGCCAUCACUGCCCCAAAACUGGCUCUCCUUGCUCUGGUACUGAGCCCCUUGUUGGUGAGGUUGCUGUCCCCCUUGGUUCCUGGCUCAUCUUCCUUUGCAGAACAGCCACCUCUUGCUGCUUCUUGAUGCUUUAUCCCCAGGUCCUUGUUGACCACAGCCUGCUGCUUCUGCGGAGCGCUUCCCUCGUUUGUCAAGACUGGUCCAAGUGCCCAUUGUCUCCCAUUUGCUUGCACCGCUGCCCCAGCUGAUGUUGUCUCCAAACUUACUGUUUCGCCCAGGUCAGACAGUGAUAAUAGUGACCCAGGACAAAUCCUCACCCAGUGCAUACAGGAAGAACCCUUUUCUCGAUGUAAGAGCCUUGCUGGUGAACGCGAGGCCAUGGAAGAGCCAGGUAGCUCCUCACCUGUAGGAGCGCUUUCCCUUGCUGUCCUGCAUGUGAUGGUACUGUCAUUUCUACCUCUAUGGCU